rnacentral:rRNA from 1 species
CCCAGACUCCUACGGGAGGCAGCAGUGGGGGAUAUUGCACAAUGGGGGAAACCCUGAUGCAGCGACGCCGCGUGGGUGAAGAAGCGCCUCGGCGCGUAAAGCCCUGUCAGCAGGAAAGAAAAUGACGGUACCUGACUAAGAAGCCCCGGCUAACUACGUGCCAGCAGCCGCGGUAAUACGUAGGGGGCAAGCGUUAUCCGGAUUUACUGGGUGUAAAGGGAGCGUAGACGGCAGUGCAAGUCCGGAGUGAAAGCCCGGGGCUCAACCCUGGGACUGCUCUGGAAACUGUAAAGCUGGAGUGCGGGAGGGGCAGGCGGAAUUCCUGGUGUAGCGGUGAAAUGCGUAGAUAUCAGGAGGAACACCGGCGGCGAAGGCGGCCUGCUGGACCGUAACUGACGUUGAGGCUCGAAAGCGUGGGGAGCAAACAGGAUUAGAUACCCGGGUACC